rnacentral:rRNA from 1 species
UACGGGGGGGAGCAAGCGUUGUUCGGAUUUACUGGGCGUAAAGGGCGCGUAGGCGGUCGUGACAAGUCACUUGUGAAAUCUCCGGGCUUAACUCGGAACGGUCAAGUGAUACUGUCGGACUAGAGUACAGAAGGGGCAACUGGAAUUCUCGGUGUAGCGGUGAAAUGCGUAGAGAUCAGCAGGAACACCCGUGGCGAAGGCGGCUUCCUGGGCCGCGCCUGACGCUGAGACGCGAAAGCGUGGGGAGCGAACGGG